GGUUAAGCGACUAAGCGUACACGGUGGAUGCCCUGGCAGUCAGAGGCGAUGAAGGACGUGCUAAUCUGCGAAAAGCGUCGGUAAGGUGAUAUGAACCGUUACAGCCGGCGAUGUCCGAAUGGGGAAACCCAGUGCAAUUCGUUGCACUAUCGUUAACUGAAUACAUAGGUUAACGAGGCGAACCGGGGGAAC
rnacentral:rRNA from 1 species